AGUGUGUGUGUUAGUGGAAGCGUCUGGAAAGGCGUGCGAUACAGGGUGACAGCCCCGUACACAAAAAUGCACAUAUUGUGAGCUCGAUGAGUAGGGCGGGACACGUGGUAUCCUGUCUGAAUAUGGGGGGACCAUCCUCCAAGGCUAAAUACUCCUGACUGACCGAUAGUGAACCAGUACCGUGAGGGAAAGGCGAAAAGAACCCCGGCGAGGGGAGUGAAAAAGAACCUGAAACCGUGUACGUACAAGCAGUGGGAGCACGCUUAGGCGUGUGACUGCGUACCUUUUGUAUAAUGGGUCAGCGACUUAUAUUCUGUAGCAAGGUUAACCGAAUAGGGGAGCCGAAGGGAAACCGAGUCUUAACUGGGCGUUAAGUUGCAGGGUAUAGACCCGAAACCCGGUGAUCUAGCCAUGGGCAGGUUGAAGGUUGGGUAACACUAACUGGAGGACCGAACCGACUAAUGUUGAAAAAUUAGCGGAUGACUUGUGGCUGGGGGUGAAAGGCCAAUCAAACCGGGAGAUAGCUGGUUCUCCCCGAAAGCUAUUUAGGUAGCGCCUCGUGAAUUCAUCUCCGGGGGUAGAGCACUGUUUCGGCAAGGGGGUCAUCCCGACUUACCAACCCGAUGCAAACUGCGAAUACCGGAGAAUGUUAUCACGGGAGACACACGGCGGGUGCUAACGUCCGUCGUGAAGAGGGAAACAACCCAGACCGCCAGCUAAGGUCCCAAAGUCAUGGUUAAGUGGGAAACGAUGUGGGAAGGCCCAGACAGCCAGGAUGUUGGCUUAGAAGCAGCCAUCAUUUAAAGAAAGCGUAAUAGCUCACUGGUCGAGUCGGCCUGCGCGGAAGAUGUAACGGGGCUAAACCAUGCACCGAAGCUGCGGCAGCGACGCUUAUGCGUUGUUGGGUAGGGGAGCGUUCUGUAAGCCUGCGAAGGUGUGCUGUGAGGCAUGCUGGAGGUAUCAGAAGUGCGAAUGCUGACAUAAGUAACGAUAAAGCGGGUGAAAAGCCCGCUCGCCGGAAGACCAAGGGUUCCUGUCCAACGUUAAUCGGGGCAGGGUGAGUCGACCCCUAAGGCGAGGCCGAAAGGCGUAGUCGAUGGGAAACAGGUUAAUAUUCCUGUACUUGGUGUUACUGCGAAGGGGGGACGGAGAAGGCUAUGUUGGCCGGGCGACGGUUGUCCCGGUUUAAGCGUGUAGGCUGGUUUUCCAGGCAAAUCCGGAAAAUCAAGGCUGAGGCGUGAUGACGAGGCACUACGGUGCUGAAGCAACAAAUGCCCUGCUUCCAGGAAAAGCCUCUAAGCAUCAGGUAACAUCAAAUCGUACCCCAAACCGACACAGGUGGUCAGGUAGAGAAUACCAAGGCGCUUGAGAGAACUCGGGUGAAGGAACUAGGCAAAAUGGUGCCGUAACUUCGGGAGAAGGCACGCUGAUAUGUAGGUGAAGUCCCUCGCGGAUGGAGCUGAAAUCAGUCGAAGAUACCAGCUGGCUGCAACUGUUUAUUAAAAACACAGCACUGUGCAAACACGAAAGUGGACGUAUACGGUGUGACGCCUGCCCGGUGCCGGAAGGUUAAUUGAUGGGGUUAGCGCAAGCGAAGCUCUUGAUCGAAGCCCCGGUAAACGGCGGCCGUAACUAUAACGGUCCUAAGGUAGCGAAAUUCCUUGUCGGGUAAGUUCCGACCUGCACGAAUGGCGUAAUGAUGGCCAGGCUGUCUCCACCCGAGACUCAGUGAAAUUGAACUCGCUGUGAAGAUGCAGUGUACCCGCGGCAAGACGGAAAGACCCCGUGAACCUUUACUAUAGCUUGACACUGAACAUUGAGCCUUGAUGUGUAGGAUAGGUGGGAGGCUUUGAAGUGUGGACGCCAGUCUGCAUGGAGCCGACCUUGAAAUACCACCCUUUAAUGUUUGAUGUUCUAACGUGGACCCGUAAUCCGGGUUGCGGACAGUGUCUGGUGGGUAGUUUGACUGGGGCGGUCUCCUCCUAAAGAGUAACGGAGGAGCACGAAGGUUGGCUAAUCCUGGUCGGACAUCAGGAGGUUAGUGCAAUGGCAUAAGCCAGCUUGACUGCGAGCGUGACGGCGCGAGCAGGUGCGAAAGCAGGUCAUAGUGAUCCGGUGGUUCUGAAUGGAAGGGCCAUCGCUCAACGGAUAAAAGGUACUCCGGGGAUAACAGGCUGAUACCGCCCAAGAGUUCAUAUCGACGGCGGUGUUUGGCACCUCGAUGUCGGCUCAUCACAUCCUGGGGCUGAAGUAGGUCCCAAGGGUAUGGCUGUUCGCCAUUUAAAGUGGUACGCGAGCUGGGUUUAGAACGUCGUGAGACAGUUCGGUCCCUA
rnacentral:rRNA from 1 species